GUCUCAAUUGCCUUAUAGUCUCCAUUGGUUGGAGUAUUAGGCAGGAAUGAGGCAAUCUGGGUUCAAGCUUCCUUUUAGCUUUGGACAGUGUUUUUCUAAACCUCCAAAGGAUUCUAAGAUGCAUUUUCUUUUCUCUACAUCUCUGAAUUUAGAUUUCCCAAUAUGGAUCUUCACCUGGCACCCACCAUCCAGCUAUAACUGGUUUGGCAGCAGGGCCAGAGUAGCUGUUCUAACAGGUGGUGGCAGAAGUAACCAGACCCAGAGUCCCUGAUCAUCGCAUUGGAACUCCCCGGUUGAUCCUUUGAUAUCAGACUACAAGAGGACAAAACAGUGACACAGGACACUUCCUGUCCCAAAUGGGACCAUGAUAUAGGACACCUGAAACAACAAGCAGACAAAAAGUUUAACAGAGCUGCUUCAAGAACGCUGGGCCACUGGCUGCCCCGUGAUCUUCAGGAACUCUAUUUUGUCCUAAUCCAAAAGCUUUUCAGGAGGAGGGGGAUGAGCAGAACCAGGAGACAGAUCCUGAAGGAAGUCCAGAUGUGUGAAUGAGUCUUAGUGCCAAGGUCUUGGGCCUUAAAGGAACAUAAGCAUCUCCAGGUAUGUAUGAAAGGAAAUGAGAAUGGAAAUGGUGGUUCCAAGAACUAAUGAGCUUGGACUUUUCCAGGUUUCCAUCACUCACUGCCAUUGAAGAUAGUUUUAUUGUUGUCAUUUUUCAGUUGUGUCCAACUCUUUCAUUUCCCCAUUUGUGGUUUUCUUGGCAAAGAGCCAAUGGAGUAGUUUGAUAUUUCCUCCUCCAGUUAAUUUUACAGAUGAGGAAACUGAGGCAGACAGGUUUAAGUGAGUUGCCUAGGGUCACACAGUAAGUGUUUGGAUGAGGCUGGAUUUGAACUCUGUGCCACCUAGCUGCCCAUGGAGAUAUCACUUACACCAUAUGAGCUGAGUAGGAAGAUCUGGUAAAAGGUCCAUCUGGCUGAGAUUUUGAGCCUUUCCCAGAUGCUAGAUUUGUUUAGCAGACCCCGGGUGGGUGGAUAAGGGGAAUAACUUCUUAUGAGAAAAGAUACUUGGAAAUGAGGACCUAACUUGCCAGAGAAAAAUCAAGCAGAGGUGCAUUUUUUUUUAAACCCUUACCUUCCAUCUUGGAGUCAAUACUGUGCAUUGGUUCCAAGGCAGAAGAAUGGUAAAGGCUAGGCAAUGGGGGUCAAGUGACUUGCCCAGGGUCACACAGCUGGGAAGUGUCUGAGGCCAGAUUUGAACCUAGGACCUCCCAU
rnacentral:lncRNA from 1 species